rnacentral:rRNA from 1 species
CUGGCUCAGGAUGAACGCUGGCGGCGUGCCUAAUACAUGCAAGUCGAACGAGUUCUCGUUGAUGAUCGGUGCUUGCACCGAGAUUCAACAUGGAACGAGUGGCGGACGGGUGAGUAACACGUGGGUAACCUGCCCUUAAGUGGGGGAUAACAUUUGGAAACAGAUGCUAAUACCGCAUAGAUCCAAGAACCGCAUGGUUCUUGGCUGAAAGAUGGCGUAAGCUAUCGCUUUUGGAUGGACCCGCGGCGUAUUAGCUAGUUGGUGAGGUAAUGGCUCACCAAGGCGAUGAUACGUAGCCGAACUGAGAGGUUGAUCGGCCACAUUGGGACUGAGACACGGCCCAAACUCCUACGGGAGGCAGCAGUAGGGAAUCUUCCACAAUGGACGCAAGUCUGAUGGAGCAACGCCGCGUGAGUGAAGAAGGCUUUCGGGUCGUAAAACUCUGUUGUUGGAGAAGAAUGGUCGGCAGAGUAACUGUUGCCGGCGUGACGGUAUCCAACCAGAAAGCCACGGCUAACUACGUGCCAGCAGCCGCGGUAAUACGUAGGUGGCAAGCGUUAUCCGGAUUUAUUGGGCGUAAAGCGAGCGCAGGCGGUUUUUUAAGUCUGAUGUGAAAGCCCUCGGCUUAACCGAGGAAGCGCAUCGGAAACUGGGAAACUUGAGUGCAGAAGAGGACAGUGGAACUCCAUGUGUAGCGGUGAAAUGCGUAGAUAUAUGGAAGACAC